rnacentral:rRNA from 1 species
UACGGGGGGGAGCAAGCGUUGUUCGGAUUUACUGGGCGUAAAGGGCGCGUAGGCGGUCGUGACAAGUCACUUGUGAAAUCUCCGGGCUUAACUCGGAACGGUCAAGUGAUACUGUCGGACUAGAGUACAGAAGGGGCAACUGGAAUUCUCGGUGUAGCGGUGAAAUGCGUAGAUAUCGAGAGGAACACCUGCGGCGAAGGCGGGUUGCUGGGCUGAUACUGACGCUGAGGAGCGAAAGCGUGGGGAGCAAACAGG